CAUGGCUCAGGACGAACGCUGGCGGCACGCUUAACACAUGCAAGUCGAACGGAGAAUUUUUGGUUUACUGAGAAUUCUUAGUGGCGGACGGGUGAGUAACACGUGAGCAACCUACCUUGUAGAGAGGGAUAGCUUCUGGAAACGGAUGGUAAUACCUCAUAAUAUAUCGAGAUCGCAUGAUUUUGAUAUCAAAGAUUUAUCACUAUGAGAUGGGCUCGCGUCUGAUUAGAUAGUUGGUGAGGUAACGGCUCACCAAGUCGACGAUCAGUAGCCGGACUGAGAGGUUGAACGGCCACAUUGGGACUGAGACACGGCCCAGACUCCUACGGGAGGCAGCAGUGGGGAAUAUUGCACAAUGGGGGAAACCCUGAUGCAGCGAUGCCGCGUGGAGGAAGAAGGUUUUCGGAUUGUAAACUCCUGUCUUAAAGGACGAUAAUGACGGUACUUUAGGAGGAAGCUCCGGCUAACUACGUGCCAGCAGCCGCGGUAAUACGUAGGGAGCGAGCGUUGUCCGGAAUUACUGGGUGUAAAGGGAGCGUAGGCGGGAACGCAAGUCAGAUGUGAAAUGCAUGGGCUUAACCCAUGAGCUGCAUUUGAAACUGCGAUUCUUGAGUGAAGUAGAGGUAAGCGGAAUUCCUGGUGUAGCGGUGAAAUGCGUAGAUAUCAGGAGGAACACCGGUGGCGAAGG
rnacentral:rRNA from 1 species